UUCACAUGCCACAUCCAUUCACAUUGGUGUGAAUGGUGAGGAAUACUACUGAUCAUCUCACGAGAGAGACUCUUGAAUUUUCACGAAUGAGCAUCACCCAGUGGCUAAGAGUUUAGUCGAUUGGGCGAUACACGGCUGUUAACAUCACUCUUGCAAAAACCAAAUCUGCGAUUUUUUUUUCAAGACCAUUAAAGAAAAGACUAGAACUUUUUUAGCUUAACUCUCACUUUCGUUGAGGACAAGAGGUCAGACCAAGAUCAAAGUGCAGUAAAAUCUACGUGAGUGCUUUUUCAAGUUCAGGAAUUCAAGUGAAAAUCCAUCAGCUACACAGCAAUGGCAAAGGGAAAAGGUGGCGGAAAUAAGGAUGAGAAAAAGGGUGGUGGAGCAGCUGCCGCCCCCAAAGCCGCCGAUGCCAAGCCGGCAGAAGCCAAAGGUGGAAAAGGAGGUAAAAAAGGUGGCAAAAAGUGACAGUAAGGAAAGGCCUUUCCCUUAAAGCAUCUCUGCAAUACAUUCUACUAUUGAUGAUUGUGAGAAAAGCAGAAAAUCAAUUUCUGAUUUUUCCUUAUCUGUGAAAAUGAUAAAUGUACACAUUGAUAUCGAUCCCCACCCCAUCACACACUCAAACUUUUAAACCCAUUCUACAUCACAAGAUGGAUAUCAACACGACAAAUAAAAAUAUCGUGACUUCCAACCAAUCUCUCUCACUCUCUCGGAUCAGUUGCAGUUGAACCAAAAAUAACCAAAACACUCUUUCUAACAAUGUGACUCAACUUAUAUUUUUUUCUUCUUUUGGAUUCGUGUACUUUUUGAGAACAAUAUAAUUGUAAUAAUAAAUACAAAAUAGAGAUAAAUCUCUAUGCGUAAAAUACAA